GUUCUUUUCAUCCUGUCAAUCAUCCAUUUACUUUCUCAGUGAACAUCUGAGAGUGACACAUGGGCUGCCGGACUAUGUUAGGAGUAACAACAGUAACCAUUAAGAGGCAAAGAGGAAGAAAGAGCUACAGAUGAUAGUGCCCGUGAAGGCUUGGCCUAAUCCUCACUGUCCAUGGAGAAAUAGUUUCAGAGGCGUUUUUCUAAAUGGCUUGGUA
rnacentral:lncRNA from 1 species